CGGAGGAUCCGAGCGUUAUCCGGAUUUAUUGGGUUUAAAGGGUGCGUAGGCGGCCUGUUAAGUCAGGGGUGAAAGACGGUAGCUCAACUAUCGCAGUGCCCUUGAUACUGAUGGGCUUGAAUGUACUAGAGGUAGGCGGAAUGUGACAAGUAGCGGUGAAAUGCAUAGAUAUGUCACAGAACACCAAUUGCGAAGGCAGCUUACUAUGGUAUGAUUGACGCUGAGGCACGAAAGCGUGGGGAUCAAACAGGAUUAGAUACCCUGGUAGUCCGCGCCCUAAACGAUGAAUACUCGAUGUUGGCGAUAUACGGCCAGCGUCUAAGCGAAAGCGUUAAGUAUUCCACCUGGGGAGUACGCCCGCAAGGGUG
rnacentral:rRNA from 1 species